rnacentral:tRNA from 1 species
GAGAGCCUAGUAAAUAUAUUACAUGGCUUUGUCAUAGCCAAAUAACAGCAUCCUGUGGCUCUCA